rnacentral:rRNA from 1 species
GACAGAGGGUGCAAACGUUGUUCGGAAUCACUGGGCGUAAAGCGUGCGUAGGCGGUCUUGUAAGUCGGAUGUGAAAGCCCUGGGCUCAACCUAGGAAGUGCACUCGAUACUGCGAGACUUGAGUACUGGAGAGGUUGGUGGAAUUCUCGGUGUAGAGGUGAAAUUCGUAGAUAUCGGGAAGAACAUCGGUGGCGAAGGCGGCCAACUGGACAGAUACUGACGCUGAGGCACGAAAGCGUGGGGAGCAAACAGG